GGGUAAGAGCCCACCGGAUGCCGUGGCGACACGGCAUGCCGCACAUCCUAUGGGUUGCAAGGCCAAAUACACCGGCAGCAAAGGAUUGCUCGUCCAUUGCCGGGGGGUAGGCUGCUCGACGCAAGUCGGAGCCGGCUGGCGACAGCCGGUCAAGAUAAAUGACAGACAGGAGCCCCGCGGGGUUCCCACAUAACCCGGCUUACAUCCCUUCUGCAUCU
rnacentral:RNase_P_RNA from 1 species